CUGUCUGUAGGAGUCAUGUGCUGUUUCUGGCUUGCCCACUGCAAGGCUGUUCCCAGCAGCAGUCCUGUGCUGUCCAUCUCCCUUGCCCCACCUUGGGACUGAGCUGCAGCCCUCAGCCUCUGGCCCGGAUCUAGAAUUCUUGCUUUGGUCUUUGCCAUGCCCAGGUGUCCCCCACAGCCUCCUGGGGAACAGGAUGAGACUGAAGGGCCAUGAUGCUUGCAUCUGUUGCAAGACUUAGAGAAGUAGCUGUUUAGUGCUAUAAACUGUGAUAAUCAUCUCCUUUCUUGACUGACCAUGGAUAGUAGGACCUUCCACAGGAGGCACAACUUCUGCUAAAGGUAAAUGAC
rnacentral:lncRNA from 1 species